rnacentral:rRNA from 1 species
GAUGAACGCUGGCGGCGUGCCUAAUACAUGCCAGUCGAGCGAACAGACGAGGAGCUUGCUCCUCUGACGUUAGCGGCGGACGGGUGAGUAACACGUGGAUAACCUACCUAUAAGACUGGGAUAACUUCGGGAAACCGGAGCUAAUACCGGAUAAUAUAUUGAACCGCAUGGUUCAAUAGUGAAAGACGGUUUUGCUGUCACUUAUAGAUGGAUCCGCGCCGCAUUAGCUAGUUGGUAAGGUAACGGCUUACCAAGGCAACGAUGCGUAGCCGACCUGAGAGGGUGAUCGGCCACACUGGAACUGGGGCACGGUCCAGACUCCUACGGGAGGCAGCAGUAGGGAAUCUUCCGCAAUGGGCGAAAGCCUGACGGAGCAACGCCGCGUGAGUGAUGAAGGUCUUCGGAUCUUAAAACUCUGUUAUUAGGGAAGAACAAAUGUGUAGUUAACUAUGCACGUCUUGACGGUACCUAAUCAGAAAGCCACGGCUAACUACGUG